GCCAUGGGGCAGCCCUGGACGGCUGGGAGCGCGGACGCGGCACCCGCGCAGCUGCCUCUCGUGCUCACCGCGCUGUGGGCCGCGGCCGUGGGCCUGGAGCUGGCUUACGUGCUGGUGCUCGGUCCCGGGCCGCCGCCGCUGGGACCCCUGGCCCGGGCCUUGCAGCUGGCGCUGGCCGCCUUCCAGCUGCUCAACCUGCUGGGCAACGUGGGGCUCUUCCUGCGCUCGGAUCCCAGCAUCCGGGGUGUGAUGCUGGCCGGCCGCGGUCUGGGCCAGGGCUGGGCUUACUGCUACCAGUGCCAAAGCCAGGUGCCGCCACGCAGCGGACACUGCUCUGCCUGCCGCGUCUGCAUCCUGCGUCGGGACCACCACUGCCGCCUGCUGGGCCGCUGCGUGGGCUUCGGCAACUACCGGCCCUUCCUGUGCCUGCUGCUUCAUGCCACCGGCGUCCUGCUCCACGUCUCUGUGCUGCUGGGCCCUGCACUGUCGGCCCUGCUGCGAGCCCACACGCCCCUCCACAUGGCUGCCCUCCUCCUGCUUCCCUGGCUCAUGUUGCUCACAGGAGUCCCAGCCCUCCAGACGCACGGCCCUACCACCUUGUAGUCAACACUCACUCCCCUCAGUCACGGAAGACUCUGGCUCCAGUCACAGACUCUCUCAGCCCUGGGCCCUGUGGAAAUCAGGGGUGUCUGGAAGUUUGCAUGAACAGCCCCCUCAAUGCCUGGAUGGCUUAGCUCUUGGCCUCCUCCUCCAUUUUUCCUUCCUUCCCUCCUCCCAUGUCCACACCCCAGUCCUGGUCAGAAUCCAAAAAUGAGUCACCCCCACAAACCACCCAUCUUCCUCGUUCUGCUCCCCACUUCCUCUCCUCUCCGUCUUUUACUCCUCCACGCCCUGGCACCUGCUC
rnacentral:sRNA from 1 species